ACAUGCCUACGACAUAUCAUUAAUGCACCGUAUCCCAUUAGAAAUCCACAGUUAAGCAUGCUCAGGCUAGAGUAGUACUGGCAUGGGUGACCGCUCAGGAAGUCCUAGUGUUUUACAUGCC
rnacentral:rRNA from 1 species